rnacentral:rRNA from 1 species
ACGGGGGGUGCAAGCGUUGUUCGGAAUUACUGGGCGUAAAGGGCGCGUAGGCGGCUUGCCAAGUCAGGGGUGAAAGCCUGGGGCUUAACCCCAGAAGUGCGCUUGAAACUAGUAGUCUAGAGUGCGGUUGAGGGAAGCGGAAUGCGUAGUGUAGAGGUGAAAUGCGUAGAUCUCAGACAGAAUACCGACGGCGUAGGCAGCUUACUGGACCGAAACUGACGCUGAGGCGCGAAAGCGUGGGGAUCAAACAG